rnacentral:rRNA from 1 species
UACGUAGGGUGCGAGCGUUGUCCGGAAUUAUUGGGCGUAAAGAGCGCGCAGGCGGUCGUACAAGUCGCGUGUGAAAGCCCCCGGCUCAACUGGGGAGGGUCACGCGAUACUGUUCGACUCGAAGGCAGGAGAGGGAAGCGGAAUUCCCGGUGUAGUGGUGAAAUGCGUAGAUAUCAGGAGGAACACCAGCGGCGAAGGCGGCGCUCUGGGCCGGUACUGACACUGAGGAGCGAAAGCGUGGGUAGCAAACAGG